UUGACUAAAUGUACACUGAUUUAUAAUAACAAUGUUUUUCCAUAUUAAGAUUGAUUGUAGGUAUAUUUUUAAGGAAGUCUUCCUUGAACCCCUGAACUAUUUUUUUAAAUGUUAGUUUUAUGGAGAUACAAUUCACAUACCAUCAAGCUUAUGCUUUUAAAAUACACAUUGCAGUGGUCUUUAGUCUAUUCACAGAAUUGUGCAUUCAUACAUAGAUAAUAAUUCCAGAUCAUUUUCAUCAAUCAAAAUAGACCUAUUCUCCCUCCCUCCCCUCGCAGGUGAGACAACCGCUAGUUUGUGUCUCACCAAGCUCAGAGCUAUGGAAUGACCUGAGAAGCCACCUGUGGUUCUGGCGUGGCAUUGACCCCAUUCAAAAUGCAUAUGAGUUAAGUAGAGAGGACAUCAUAUAAUGAUAAGUGCCGUGCAUAAAAUUAAAAUAGAGAGAAGCUACUACAAGUGGUUGGAUUUCUGCUCUGGUUUGGAGAAUGCUAACAGGACAGCAGUCACCAUGGCCAGCGAGUGGCGUACGCUGAUGGGGAGCACUCUGAUUCCCUCUGGGAACUUUCUCAUAUAAACCAAGUGCCUGAGAAGGGGAGAGGACUCACCUGCAAGGGAAAAUGAAGUGCAGCUUCUGGAAUCAGAGGAUAUAGAUGCUAGGUAGUUAGAUUGCUAGGUAGCAAUCUUUCUCUAAUCAGUGCAAUUUUUACAAGGAGUCUUCAAAUAUUAAAAUAAAUGGAUACAAGCAUUAUUUUCUUAGGACAAAUGUAUUUUGUAAGUUCAAUGUUAUUACAUGACGCCUUGUGAAAUCAGGCUGUGAGAACGAUGAAGUUGCUUUGAUGAGUCUCAAAACAGCAAAUUGAAGUAGUGUAUGACCAUCAUCUCCUUUCCUUUGAGGAACCCAAAUGUCUCAGCAUGCACCCGUGUGUGUGGCCAUCUUUCCUUUGAAUUACCUGUCGCAGUGGCUCAGGUGAGUCCGAGUGUUCCUGUGGGAAUUCUGGCCCAUGCCGCACAUCAUCCUACGUGCUGCCUGCCUCCUCUGGCUCCGGGAACAUUGAUCUCUUCUUUCCAUGAGCUACUCCUGGCUACUGGUUGCCUUUCAACUGGCUGAGGAAAGCUCCCUCUGAAGCUGCUGUUCUUGCUUGCAAAGAAGUAGGGAUCCAGAACCUGCCCUCAACUCCCUGCAGUAAAGAUAGGAAAGAAUCACCAGUUUGCCUUCCAAAGCAAUUCCAAGAACCCAAAGCCUGGACCCUUCAGAAACAGUGGAUCACACGAACUGUCAAACUGGAGCACUCCUUUCAAAUGUGAAGGAUUCUUACAUGGGUGUCCAACCCAUCCAGACACAGUCCUUAUCGCUGGCAGGUGUAAUUGACAAUUUGUUGCCAUCCCCAUCAUGUAGUGCAUCAAUCUUCACAUGAAGCCCUGUGUGGGCUGAUGAAAUUCCGGGAGAUUUUAAUGAAUUACGGCCACAUUUGCCUGAAGAAGCUAGGGAAGUUGCUAACUGGUUCAAAACCAUGCGUGUGAGGACCUGAAGAUAACGGUGUUGCUGUUCAAUCGCCAGUAUCGUUUCCACCAAAUUCGGGAUCUGUAUAUGAGUCCGUGCAGAACGGGGAAGAUGGGAAAAUUUAAUAGGGAAUGUCCACUUCAGUGUAUAGCAAAUUAAAGAAGAAUUUCAAAAAGAUCAGAGCCAUGUAGAAAAUGAAUGGGGAAGUAUUCUCCACGGAGAUCCAUGCCUCAAAAUAAAAAAUGAAGCGAUUCAUCUGGAUGCAAGACUUCAAAAUAUAGUUAAUGAUGGUGAAAUUCAGCCCAUGCUUAUGGAAGAUUUCCAUCUAGUUGUCUGUAAUCUCUCCCUGUAAUAUACUUUAUUGUAUGUCAAAUUUUCCUUCUUAGUUUUUCUCCCACUAUUUUAAAUUGUCAGCAUUAUUUUUGAUACUUUGCUAUGUUGUGCAUUUAAUCUUUGCAUCAGUUCCAGUAAUGGAGAUAAUAAAUGAUGUAAAGGUUUUCAGAGAGUUCUACUUUGUACUAUGCAUUUUUGGUGCAAAUUUGACUCCAUAGAAGUCCACAACAUUGGCUUUGUGUGUAUGUGAAAAUGUUGAAACUUCCUCAAUGACUGAAGAGAUGCCCUUUUUAUGUAUCUGUGCUUGUGCAAGAUAAAAUUUCUCAAGAUCUCAGUUCUUUGAGUGGCGUCUUAUGUGGUAGUGACCCAUCUCAAUUUUUUUUUUUUUUUUUGCGACAAAGCCUCAAGCUGUCGCCCUGGGUAGAGUGCCAUGGCAUCACAGCUCAUAGCAACCUCCAACACCUGGGCUCACACGAUUCUCCUGCCUCUGCCUCCCAAGUAGCUGGGACUACAGGUGCCCACCACAACGCCCAGCUAUUUUUUGGUUAUAGUUGUCAUUGUUGUUCGGUGGGCCUGGGCUGGAUUUGAACCUGCCAGCUCAGGUGUAUGUGGCUGGUGCCUUAGCUGCUUGAGCCACAGGCAUGGAGCCCCCAUCUCGAUUUUUGAUCAAUCUUGUUAAAAGACUUAGGUUGUCCAUCAGGGUAUUUCAUAUGACUAAUUAUAAAGCUGGGUGUGCACAAUUACCAACCAUAGUGAUAUGCAUUUGUGCAAUUUACUUUUGACCUAUUGCCUUAUAAAUAUGAUUCAUCUGGGGUAGUGCCUGUGGCUCAAAGGAGUAGGGCACUGGCCCCAUAUGCCAGAGUUGGUGGGUUCAAACCCAGCCCCAGCCAAAAAAUUGCAAAAAAAAAAAAAAUCAUCUGCUUAUAGCUGUUAUACCAGGCUACUGUUGCUAAAUACAAGUGUUUCUGCUUGCAAAAAUACAUGUUAUUAUUGCCUAUCUUAUUGUGUAAACUGGCCUGAGUUCUGUUAUG